AUUGAACGCUGGCGGCAUGCUUUACACAUGCAAGUCGAACGGUAACAGGGAGCUUGCUCCGCUGACGAGUGGCGAACGGGUGAGUAAUGCAUCGGAACGUACCCAGUCGUGGGGGAUAACGUAGCGAAAGUUACGCUAAUACCGCAUACGUCCUGAGGGAGAAAGCGGGGGACCGUAAGGCCUCGCGCGAUUGGAGCGGCCGAUGUCGGAUUAGCUAGUUGGUAGGGUAAAGGCCUACCAAGGCGACGAUCCGUAGCGGGUCUGAGAGGAUGAUCCGCCACACUGGGACUGAGACACGGCCCAGACUCCUACGGGAGGCAGCAGUGGGGAAUUUUGGACAAUGGGCGAAAGCCUGAUCCAGCCAUGCCGCGUGAGUGAAGAAGGCCUCGG
rnacentral:rRNA from 1 species